UUCAGAUCAACAUAAACAACUGAAAUAUAAUUAUCUAUAAAUAUAAAAUUUCAAAAUGAAAUUCCUACAGGUUUUUGUUUUAAUUGUUGUACUAUUUGUUUCAACAACUUUAGCACAGUCUAACGAACCACAAGAAGAAAUAGAUGCUGAGCAAGCCCGGUUAGCUACAUUAAAUGGGCCUACUUGUUACGGUUGUCAUAGUUUUUGUACCGGAAAUGGUUUUAGGGGCGGAUAUUGCGUAGGAACGUCUUGUACUUGUUACUAAUUUCGUUCAUAAUAACUUGCAUACUUAAAUUACAUAUUUUUACAAUCAAAUAACGUUACUGUAGACAAAAAAGACACUCUACAUACAUUAUUAUACAUUAUACAUUAUAAGUUAUAAUAAAUAUAUUCAAUAAAUUAAUUGCUAAUC